ncrna:Pantoea sp. YR343 EFASI RNA
UCAACGCGAUAUCAAGGCGACGUCAGCGAACCUGACGGACGGAGGCGUCCUGAGAAAUCAGGAACCGGCAUUAGCCGCGAUCAGCUCUGAGAGCUGUGGAGACCUCGCAACAACUCAACAUUUCGCCGCCCCGAUGCACAGAUAUCCGCUG